UAAGCGGAGGAAAAGAAACUAACAAGGAUUCCCCUAGUAACGGCGAGUGAAGCGGGAUGAGCUCAAAUUUGAAAUCUGGCAGCCUCCGGUUGUCCGAGUUGUAAACUAGAGAAGCGUUUUCCGUGCCGGCCUGUGUACAAGUCCCUUGGAAUAGGGCGUCAUAGAGGGUGAGAAUCCCGUCCUUGACACAGACCACCGGUGCUAUGUGAUACGCUCUCGACGAGUCGAGUUGUUUGGGAAUGCAGCUCAAAUUGGGUGGUAAAUUCCAUCUAAGGCUAAAUAUUGGCGAGAGACCGAUAGCGAACAAGUACCGUGAGGGAAAGAUGAAAAGCACUUUGGAAAGAGAGUUAAACAGUACGUGAAAUUGUUGAAAGGGAAACGAUUGAAGUCAGUCAUGCGUGCUCGGACUCAGCUGGGUUCGUCCCAGUCUAUUUCCGGGUGCCGCAGGUCAGCAUCAGUUUCGGGCGGUGGAAAACGGGCGGGGGAAGGUGGCAUCUCCGGAUGUGUUAUAGCCCCCGUUUGGAUGCAUCGCGUGGGACUGAGGAACGCAGCGCGCCCUUCACGGGGUCGGUCUCCGGACACGAACGCGCUUAGGAUGCUGGCAUAAUGGCUUUAAACGACCCGUCUU
rnacentral:rRNA from 1 species